rnacentral:rRNA from 1 species
GAUGAACGCUGGCGGCGUGCCUAAUACAUGCAAGUCGAGCGAACGGACGAGAAGCUUGCUUCUCUGAUGUUAGCGGCGGACGGUUGAGUAACACGUGGAUAACCUACCUUUAAGACUGGGAUAACUUCGGGAAACCGGAGCUAAUGCCGGGUGAUAUCUUGCACCGCAUGGUUCAAUAGUUAAAGACGGUCUUGCUGUCUCUUAUAGAUGGAUCCGCGCUGCAUUAGCUAGUUGGUAAGGUAACGGCUUACCAAGGCAACGAUGCAUAGCCGACCUGAGAGGGUGAUCGGCCACACUGGACCUGAGACACGGUCCAGACUCCUACGGGAGGCAGCAGUAGGGAAUCUUCCGCAAUGGGCGGAAGCCUGACGGAGCAACGCCGCGUGAGUGAUGAAGGUCUUCGGAUCGUAAAACUCUGUUAUUAGGGAAGAACAUAUGUGUAAGUAACUGUGCACAUCUUGACGGUACCUAAUCAGAAAGCCACGGCUAACUACGUG